AUUGAACGCUGGCGGCAUGCUUUACACAUGCAAGUCGAACGGCAGCGCGGGCUUCGGCCUGGCGGCGAGUGGCGAACGGGUGAGUAAUGCAUCGGAACGUGCCCAGUAGUGGGGGAUAGCCCGGCGAAGGCCGGAUUAAUACCGCAUACGACCUGAGGGUGAAAGCGGGGGACCGAAAGGCCUCGCGCUAUUGGAGCGGCCGAUGUCGGAUUAGCUAGUUGGUGGGGUAAAGGCUUACCAAGGCGACGAUCCGUAGCUGGUCUGAGAGGACGACCAGCCACACUGGGACUGAGACACGGCCCAGACUCCUACGGGAGGCAGCAGUGGGGAAUUUUGGACAAUGGGGGCAACCCUGAUCCAGCCAUGCCGCGUGCGGGAAGAAGGCCUUCGGGUUGUAAACCGCUUUUGUUCGGGAAGAAAUCCUCUGGGCUAAUACCCCGGGGGGAUGACGGUACCGGAAGAAUAAGCACCGGCUAACUACGUG
rnacentral:rRNA from 1 species